CACCGCGGUUAAACGAGAGGCCCUAGUUGAUAGUAUCACGGCGUAAAGGGUGGUUAAGGAAAGCACAAUAAUAAAGCCAAAUGGCCCUUUGGCCGUCAUACGCUUCUAGGUGCCCGAAGCCCAACUCCACGAAAGUAGCUUUAGCAGAGCCCACCUGACCCCACGAAAGCUGAGAAA
rnacentral:rRNA from 1 species